GUGUAGUAUCUACGGUUUGUGUAUCGAUUAUUUGCAAAAUGGUUUUACUAAACCAAACAUGGUUUAACUUUUUUUUUUUCAAAUUCAUGGUUCUUUCUUAACUUGCAACCUAUCUCUAUAUACUGCAUCUGUUGUACCUGUCUGUCCAGCUGUGUGUUUGUCUUUCUGUCUUUGUCUGCUUUGGAAUGGCCACCAGAUAUACCCAUCACAAACAGGAUCCCCACUACCAAGAGGGGAGGCUCAUGGCUCUUGAGCUGAACCAUGACCACAUUCUAGCUGAAGCCAAGAGAGCAGCUGUGGAGACGAAACGUUUAUGCCCUAGAAGAGACCCUUCACAGACCUCUAAAAGGAUCUUUGUUGGCUGGGGCAAGCCGAGGGGGAGGCAAGGAGGGUGACGCCAAGCCUCAGCUACAGGUCACUUUUACAGGUUGAGUGCUUCCUGUCAUCCAGUGUGGAGUUUCCACCUAACUGUACCCUCAGCAAAACUAAAUCCUCAUGAGGAAUUUGGUGCAGAGAGUGGUUCUGUGGGGACCGUGAUGUAUUACGUCACAAAAAACAGCCACUCCCCAAUAGGGAAUGUGUAAUUAAUAGGUUUUUUGUAGCCAUCCGUCCAACCAAAUGCAUCAUUAAAGGGGAAGAUGGAUAUUGCACUCAACACAAGGGUGUUUUGACUUGCAUUUGCCACUAUAUGUCUGUUAAACAUGCAAACAGCAAAGGACCCCAGACCUGAAAGACCUUCUGAGGAGUGGAUAUUGGCCAGCUUCAAUAAACAACACCACACUUUACACACUGGACCUCCUGAUCUCCUUUCAAGAACUCAAGGUCAUCUCUCCAAGAUUCUCCAGACAAGCCUUCGCAAAGCUGCUGGAGCAUCGCACGAAGUGUGGAGGAAGAUUUGGAUAUAUCAAUGGCGAUGCACUGCAACGCAGCUUCUUGGAGUUUUCAUACGCUUCAUUUGAAGCAGACCAGCUCUGCUGUGGUGCUCCUUUCACCUGCCAAGCCUGGACGCUGCUUCAGCAGAUCGAAACAGAAAGCUAUAUCGCUUUUGCCCAAACAGAAGACUGUGGCUUGCAAAUAUUGGCCAUUUGAAGAAAGUUGCUAGUGUCCUUCCUGAUCUUCAGGAGCUGACCUCAAUGAAACCUUUCCUUAAUGUUAUGCAUGCUUGAGCCACACAAAAAAGUUUGAGAUUAAAUGAAGUGGUAGGAACCAGGAAGGAACAGGGACAACCACCGGUGAGUGGAGCAAGUGAACAGCUACCUUUCACGUUGUGCCCGUACAACCAAAUAUAUGUCCAAAGCAGGGGUGGACAUGCUUACAUUGCAUGCAAUGGGCUGGAACCAUAAAAAAGUAUCUCUCUACAUCAGGCACUUUCCACAAUAUAUGUGAAAACAUCCAGCACGAGACUGCAAGGCUAGCAGAACUAAAAACAAAGCUACAUCGCACAGAUAAAGGAACGUCGCAAUGGCUUUCUGAUGUGAAAGAAUGGGUAGCUCGUGAGACAUCAGAAACAUCUCAUGCCAGUCAAGGCACCACACACAGAGAACUUCAGCAGUCAUUUGAGGGGCUUUAUCUUAGUGUGAAGCAAACUCUCUACCGUCAGAAUGACAGCAGCAAGCUUUGCCACCGCCUUCAAAGGAAGCUGGCAGAUGACAAAAGCUCCUUCUUCAGGAGAUACAGAACUACAAUGAUCUUGUACUAGACUCUGCCACAAACAUCAUUGACCUAGCUGUGGUGGAGCAUUCCCUCACUGGAGAGAGCAGUGUGUCUCAGAUAUGGCCAUGGGACCUUCAUGGCAGUGCAAACAUUUCAGUCAAGAAACGAUUGCAUGACCAAGUGAUGUUGACAAUGCGACUGCAUGAGGAAAGGGGCAUUGUGGUGUUGGAGAUGGCUCAACAAUACACAUGGUUGCGGAGCCUGGCAGUGGCUCUCAAGAACAAGAUGGCUGAGGAGGACAAGGGAAAUGAAGGACUUUGCUGUCUCUUAAGAAGAAGAUCGUCAGUGGUGUCAGAAGGGUUACAAGUCGUCCUUCAACAAUACAAGACUGCAUUAGGUCUUGAGGUCUCUGUCCUUCUACAUGUUGAAGAAGAAGAUCAAAGUGACCUCAGCAGUCCAGAUACCAGCGAGGAUGAAGAGGAAAACAUAAUUUAGAUAGAAACUGCACAAAGGACUGCGUUUAAGGAAAUGGACUUGGCAUAUAUCUGUGUAGUGUUAGUAUGCUAACUACAUUAUUAUCUGUAUGCAUCCUAUAUUGUUGAAAUGUUCAACCUGUGUCUAGAUUAUCAAGCAUGUUAUUUAGCACGUUGAUGCUCCUUAAAUAUGCACAAACAUCUCAAUAUAGGUGCAACCAUUGUAUGAUAUUAUCAGAUGUAAUAAUUGAACUGAUGUUAUAUUUGGCUAGUGUAUUCAUAAUUUGUGUAUUUAAAGUUGCUAAUGGGCAUUGUUAGCCACAUCACAAACUCACUGUUAAAACACUGCUUUUUGUGCCUUAUUGUGUUUAUGUACUUGCAUUGGUGCAGUAAUAUCGAUGUUAUGCAGUAAGGUCAUUGGUGUGUUUUACAAUGGCUUUGAACAGAGCUCAACCAAUCAGAAUAAUCAUUGAUAAUAAAGUAAGUUUUAUAAUGGGUAAGUUGAUAUGAAAUAUUGUAAGCACGUUCAUCAGGAUGACUUUGCUGACCUUGUGACCUUUAUUACCACAUUUAGGCCAAAAUGUAAAAACUCUACUUGAUUGAGUGUAUUAUAGGAUUGUGCACCAUUGAAGAUAAACAUCAUAAAUUCUUUCUUAAAGAUGGAUAAUUUGUUGGCAAUGUGUCUGUCACUAUCAGUUCUGUUCUUAUAAGCACAUUGUACAUUAAAGACUAUAGUAUGCAAAAGAAAAAUACACUACAUUUAUAUUUUAUGAUUAUACUUAUAUUGUGUAUUACUACAUUUGAUAGAUAACUUUAUUCCCUGUUCUGCUGGUGGUUUUCAAGUGAACUUCACAGUCUAGUGUUAUUAAAUUCAGCCUUAUGGCUUGAUUGACAAAUUUGCAUUUCAUGUAUUUUCACUGCUUUUAUUGUGAAAGACAAAAAAUAAAGUGUUUCUAAACAUGA